rnacentral:rRNA from 1 species
UACGGAGGGUGCGAGCGUUGUCCGGAAUCAUUGGGCGUAAAGGGCGCGUAGGUGGCGGGACAAGCGUGCGGGUGAAAGCUCGGGGCUCAACCCCGCGUCGGCCGUGCGAACUGUUUUGCUUGAGCACUGUAGAGGCAGGCGGAAUUCCGGGUGUAGCGGUGGAAUGCGUAGAGAUCCGGAAGAACACCGGUGGCGAAGGCAGCCCCCUGGGAUCAACACUGACGCUCAUGCACGAAAGCGUGGG